rnacentral:rRNA from 1 species
UACGAAGGGGGCUAGCGUUGCUCGGAAUCACUGGGCGUAAAGCGCACGUAGGCGGGUUCUUAAGUCGGAGGUGAAAUCCUGGAGCUCAACUCCAGAACUGCCUUCGAUACUGGGAAUCUCGAGUCCGGGAGAGGUGAGUGGAACUGCGAGUGUAGAGGUGAAAUUCGUAGAUAUUCGCAAGAACACCAGUGGCGAAGGCGGCUCACUGGCCCGGUACUGACGCUGAGGUGCGAAAGCGUGGGGAGCAAACAGG